CAAGAUCAAAUAGAGGAACAGACGCGUGGCCCGCGCGGUUCCUGGGUAGAUUGCUUGAGCUGCAAGGUGACUUGCAGCCUAGAUGAAUGACUGUUCUCGACAAAACCCGGCUUAUAGGCCGACUCUUUCU
rnacentral:RNase_P_RNA from 1 species